rnacentral:tRNA from 1 species
GCCCUAGUAGCUCAGCGUUUUAGAGCGUUAGUCUUGUAAACUGAACGUCGAAGGUUAAAUCCCUUCCUAGAGCU